rnacentral:lncRNA from 1 species
CCACACACGCGACAUCCAAAUGAAAUCAAUCCAAAAUCAAAUUCAAAAGAAACCAUCAUGACUUCAUCUCUCUAGUCUGCUCUCAACCCAAAUACCCACAUUGUGAAGCUACCUGCUACCGGCUGCCACCACGCUGCUCCACGUCGGCAAGAUAGCACAGUCGCUCCACGACCGACAGCCUUGACCCAUGUCAGCCUUAUCUUUCCGCUCUCGAAACAACAUCACGUCAGUUGCACCACAACCACACCAUGACAGAUAGAGGAAAUUGGAGAUCCAUCGAAGCCACAAUAUGAAGCUGCAGCGCAUAAUCGCUCUGGAUAAGAAAGACACGAGCUCGCUUGGCCAUCACCAUUUCGCUUUCUCUCUCUCUCACUUCGGCUUCUCGGAUCAAAUUGAGGAUUUUGUUUUGAUGCUUAUAAUUUCCACCACAAGAACCAUCACACAAACAAUCAAUGACCUACAACUAAUUAUCUUCAAAUCGGUUAGCAAUCUUUAUUAAUAUUGAAGCCAUCAUUAAACCCAUCACAGAGAGAAAGUGAGAGAG